GAUGAACGCUAGCGGCAGGCUUAAUACAUGCAAGUCAAGGGGGUAGCAAUACAACCGGCGCACGGGUGAGUAACACGUACACAACAUACCAUAUACUGAGGUAUAGCUUCGGGAAACUGAAGGUAAUCCCUCAUAGUAUUGCGAAAAGGCAUCUUUUUUACAAUUAAAGUUUCGACGGUAUAUGAUUGGUGUGCGUUUGAUUAGCUAGUUGGUAGGGUAACGGCCUACCAAGGCAACGAUCAAUAGCUGGCGUGAGAGCGCGACCAGCCACACUGGAACUGAGACACGGUCCAGACUCCUACGGGAGGCAGCAGUAGGGAAUAUUGGACAAUGGGCGAAAGCCUGAUCCAGCCAUGCGCGUGAUAGAUGAAGG
rnacentral:rRNA from 1 species